CCUACGGGCGGCAGCAGUGAGGAAUAUUGGUCAAUGGUCGGGAGACUGAACCAGCCAAGCCGCGUGAGGGAUGAAGGUACAGAGUAUCGUAAACCUCUUUUGUCAGGGAACAAAGGCGGGGACGUGUCCCCGGAUGAGUGUACCUGAAGAAAAAGCAUCGGCUAACUCCGUGCCAGCAGCCGCGGAAAUACGGAGGAUGCGAGCGUUAUCCGGAUUUAUUGGGUUAAAAGGGGGCGAAGGCGGUCUGUUAAGUCAGCGGUCAAAGCCCGGGGCUCAACCCCGGACCGCCGUUGAAACUGGCAGUCUUGAGUUGGAGAGAAGUAUGCGGAAUGCGCGGUGUAGCGGUGAAAUGCAUAGAUAUCGCGCAGAACUCCGAUUGCGAAGGCAGCAUGCCGGCUCCACACUGACGCUGAGGCACGAAAGCGUGGGUAUCGAACAGGAUUAGAUACCCUAGUAGUC
rnacentral:rRNA from 1 species